CAAGCACGGGGGACACUGAGGUGCUACAGGUAAUGCAAGUAGCUGCUGUGACAGUUUUUCAGUUUGCUUCCCUAUAUCAUUUUAACAGGUCAAGAAAGAGCUUAAGUCAGCCUUGUGCUACCCAUCAGACCCCAGUCUGCAGAGAGGGUUCGCUCCACGUGCUGGAGUACUCACUGCUGCUGCAUCAAACAAGUGGAACGGAGCAAAGAUGAUCAUCACUUUGGACACCAAGGGACUUGGGCUGACCUGUGCACAGCAGGGCAGUGAUGCAGGAGGUCUUGGCUUGCAUUACAUCCCCUGAUCCCAAGGCAUUGCCCACUCUGACACUCGCAGCCACGCUGAAGCCCAGAGGCACCUGAGUAUCGGGAGACAAAAAGGAGAUGCAGCAUCCUGCAGAACCAACCCUGGAGACGAGGACAUUGCUGGCAGGAGAUGCUCAGGGACACACUCGAGAAGUGGCCACCAGAGCAGGCAAGGCUGGAGGAUGCCCUGCUGCACCAAAGGAAGAGGAUUGGGACUCACCUGCCAAGAAGCUCCCGAUCUCAAAGGUCCACCACUCAAUGCACAUCAUGAGCAUGCUGGGCACUGCCAGCUGGAUGAAGGAGCCCCAAUCCAGGAGGCAGUCCCUGGUCCAACCUGCAAGUGCAUCCCUGAGGUAGAGUGAUCAAGAAUGAACUUGGGGCCACAGAAAGGCCUUGAGAUCAUGGCUACAGCCUCGCCUCACAGUGAGGGGAUGGUAAUGCCUUUGUCAGACCUACACCUCAGGUGCUGGUGACUGUGCCAAAUCACCAGGGCCAGAUGCUGGUAUUCUGAAGGCCCAGCCCACAGACAGUACCUCCCCAGGUCUCCACGUGGAUCUUCUUCCACCGCACAUAAAGGAAGAGGAGAAUGGCCUGGGUGUACUGAGAAACAGUGUUGGCCCAGGCCGAGCCCCUGGGGAGAGAAACAGGCAGAUUACAAACACCACCCUCACCCACUCCUCAGCUCCAGCAGGGGACCUGGUGGCACCCAUAUAAGCCACUGCAGAUAUGGAGAAAAUGAUCCCCCCACCUUAUCUUUCCAAGAUAGUUGGCUGGGGGCAGAGUGCUGCAGAACUGGGCACCCAAGACAAGCGCCUACAGCCCUGAGCAAACCCCUGCAACCCAGGAGGGGCUGUCACCACCUCUGCUCA